GCCUGGAUAGCUCAGUUAAUUAGAGCAUGGUGCUGAUCUUGCCAAAGCUGCAAGUUCGAUUCCCGUUUGGGACA